GACGAACGCUGGCGGCGUGCUUAACACAUGCAAGUCGAACGGAGAGGCCCUGCUUUUGUGGGGUGCUCGAGUGGCGAACGGGUGAGUAACACGUGAGUAACCUGCCCUUUACUUUGGGAUACCUUCAGGAAACUGGGGCUAAUACACGAUAGGAGCUCCUGCUGCAUGGUGUGGGUUGGUCAGUUUCGCUGGUUGGGGAUGGACUCGCGGCUUAUCAGCUUGUUGGGGGGGUAGUGGCUUACCAAGGCAUGGACGGGUAGCCGGCCUGGGAGGGUGACCGGGCACAAUGGGACUGAGGUAGGACCCAGAGUGCAACGGGAGGAAUCGGUGGAGAACAGUGCACAAUGGGCCGAAGGAGUAAGCAACGAUGCCGGGUGCGGGAUGACUGCCUUUGGGGUGUAAACCGCUUGCGCCUGUGACGAAGCGUGAGUGACGGUAACGGGUAAAGAAGCACCGGCUAACUACGUG
rnacentral:rRNA from 1 species